rnacentral:rRNA from 1 species
AACGAACGCUGGCGGCAUGCCUAACACAUGCAAGUCGAACGAGACCUUCGGGUCUUGUGGCGCACGGGUGCGUAACGCGUGGGAACCUUCCCUUAGGUUCGGCAUAACUCCCCGAAAGGGGUGCUAAUACCGGAUAAUGUCUUCGGACCAAAGAUUUAUUGCCUUUGGAUGGGCCCGCGUUGGAUUAGCUAGUUGGUAGGGUAAAAGCCUACCAAGGCGACGAUCCAUAGCUGGUCUGAGAGGAUGAUCAGCCACACUGGGACUGAGACACGGCCCAGACUCCUACGGGAGGCAGCAGUGGGGAAUAUUGGACAAUGGGCGAAAGCCUGAUCCAGCAAUGCCGCGUGAGUGAUGAAGGCCUUAGGGUUGUAAAGCUCUUUUACCCGGGAUGAUAAUGACAGUACCGGGAGAAUAAGCUCCGGCUAACUCCGUG